AGAGUUUGAUCCUGGCUCAGGAUGAACGCUGGCGGUCUGCUUAACACAUGCAAGUCGAACGCAGUACUUCGGUACUGAGUGGCGGACGGGUGAGUAACGCGUGAGAAUCUGCCUAGAGGUCGGGGACAACCAUUGGAAACGAUGGCUAAUACCGGAUAUGCCUUACGGGGUGAAAGAUUAAUCGCCUUUAGAAGAGCUCGCGUCUGAUUAGCUAGUUGGUAGGGUAAAAGCCUACCAAGGCAUCGAUCAGUAGCUGGUCUGAGAGGAUGACCAGCCACACUGGGACUGAGACACGGCCCAGACUCCUACGGGAGGCAGCAGUGGGGAAUUUUCCGCAAUGGGCGAAAGCCUGACGGAGCAAGACCGCGUGAGGGAGGAAGGCUCUUGGGUUGUAAACCUCUUUUGUCAGGGAAGAACACAAUGACGGUACCUGACGAAUCAGCAUCGGCUAACUCCGUGCCAGCAGCCGCGGUAAUACGGAGGAUGCAAGCGUUAUCCGGAAUUAUUGGGCGUAAAGCGUCCGCAGGUGGCUUAUCAAGUCUGCGGUCAAAGACCGGGGCUUAACUUCGGAAAGGCAGUGGAAACUGAACAGCUAGAGUAUGGUAGGGGCAGAGGGAAUUCCUGGUGUAGCGGUGAAAUGCGUAGAGAUCAGGAAGAACAUCGGUGGCGAAGGCGCUCUGCUGGACCAUAACUGACACUCAGGGACGAAAGCUAGGGGAGCGAAUGGGAUUAGAUACCCCAGUAGUCC
rnacentral:rRNA from 1 species